rnacentral:lncRNA from 1 species
AUUAUUUGGAAGUCAGAAGUGCCGUAUUGGGUUUUAUACACUACCUCAAAGGUAAUUUGCGUGCCUGCUGCUUUCCUUGUGGUAGCCGUUUCUCAUACUCCCUCUCCGGAAUUGAAACCUGCUUUCCCUUUACAACCAUGGUUUCCAUUCUUAAUGUUAUAGCAACCAGCCUAGAAAGUUGAUAGGACAUACAUUUGACAUAUACGUUUCUGUGAACCUGCCAUGAUGCUUUGGAUUUGUAAUUGAUUUAAAUUCAUUUUCCCGAUAGAUAACUAAUAAAGUCAGCUUUCUGUGCAGUCUCGGCGUCCUUAUAAAUCAAGUCCGAGUUUAAAAACAUUGACAUUGCAUAAAACAACGCAUUUCUGGUUUGUCUAUUGGCGGCGGAUGCCUCAUGUGAAAUUCGAUCUGCUUUUUCUUCAGGAGUACCCAAGACGUAAUUUUUCUUUAGGUCGUCUUUCGUUUUUCGGCAUGUUAUUGUCUGACUCAGUUUGAUGAGGCGUUUGAUAUCGUCCGCCUCUCCUAAAUACACAUGUCAGUUGUGCAACACACUUAUAUGACAAAACACACUUAUAUUGCAACACACGUAUGUGAUCUAAUACACUUAUAUGAUUAUAUGUAAUAGAAUUUUAGAAAAGGAAAAAUGUUCAUCUUAAAAUGCUAUAAAUAUCAAUAAAAAAUAAAAACAAUACCCA